rnacentral:tRNA from 1 species
GCCCCGGCUCAGAAGAUUGAGCAGAGGUUUCCUCAAGCUUGUGUCGGAGGUUCGAAUCCUCUCGGGGCC